ACGGAAGGUCCGGGCGUUAUCCGGAUUUAUUGGGUUUAAAGGGAGCGCAGGCGGACUCUUAAGUCAGUUGUGAAAUACGGCGGCUCAACCGUCGGACUGCAGUUGAUACUGGGAGUCUUGAGUGCACACAGGGAUGCUGGAAUUCAUGGUGUAGCGGUGAAAUGCUCAGAUAUCAUGAAGAACUCCGAUCGCGAAGGCAGGUAUCCGGGGUGCAACUGACGCUGAGGCUCGAAAGUGCGGGUAUCAAACAG
rnacentral:rRNA from 1 species